AAAUGGAAUGGAAGCAUAUUAAAACAACAUAUUUUUGUAGAGAUGACAGGACACUAGCCCCUAAGGCCUAUUUUUUUUUUGGGGGGGGGGGGGGGUAAACUAACAUUAUAGUAUUGAUAUCCCAUAAAAAUGCUAUCUAAUAUUUUAAUCCAGUUGACUCAUUAUUAUGCCUAUAUCAGAUAUAACAAUGACAUGGAUGUUGCAGAUUUCUGAAGAGGAACAUAUUAGAUGUGAUGUAGAUAGAUGUAGAUAGAGUGGUACGGGGGCAAGGCGUCGGUGGUCAAAGAAGAGUAAGGAGAGCAAGUUGCAUGACCAGAGGUAGAGGGUUGAUAACGCGUCGAAGUCCUGGACGUGGUGGACGAGAUCAGACCCCCAACAGAGCUGAAAUAGCAACUGCCAGAAUAGAAAGAUCCAAAGAAUUGAAAGCAAGGAGCGCAUUAAUAACCUUCCUGAAGAAAGUGUGCGAGAGCUGCUCUUUGAUGUCACCAAAAAGUAUCCAGCUUUAGUAAUUAAUAUUCUUGAGGCAGGAAUCAGGACUAGGGUACAUCAAGGAUAUCACACAUCGCCCGACCAGGGAGGCCCAACCUGGUGUUCCUGCAGGAAUUGCAGAGAAAUGCCAACCGAAGCAAAACAGUUAUGCUGUGGACAAUUGCCAGAAAACUGCUUCUCCAGGAUCCGAUUUAGAUGAGUUGAUCCUUCAUGUUGCCGGAACAUAUCGACAGAAUGUCCUGGCAGUUCCAAAUGACAACGACUGGAACAGGGAUAACUGUCAUACUGCCUACAGGCAAUACAUUCUCUGGUAGCAUUGCCGACUUGGUGCUUGGAAUCGUCGAGCGAUUCCAAGCUGUUGUGUGUGGAGGAUUAGAGAUACUUUUCUUGAUUCUUGUGAACAAUAUUCAUGGUUUGUGCAUGACAGACUAGCAUAUCAUUCCCUACCAACUCCAGACUUUUAAAAUAUCAAUCCACUGAUAUUUAUAUAUGAAAAUACAUGUAGAUCAAUUAGAUAUUAUAACACACAUCUUUUCAAAUUUAACAGUCUGUUAUUUAAUUUUUUUUUUCUGCUUUUGUUCAAACAUACACGUACAUGGAUUCAUUUAUUUGAAGUGACAUAUACAGUACAAUACUCAGUAUAGCAUGAUUACUGUAACAGUCCGCUAAUAUAUACAGGUAACUAUACUGUAUCUAUAAGUAUAAUGGAAAGGACUAUUGGUUUGUAAGAAUUUGUAUCUAAUCCUCUUGCAUGCAUUAUAUUUUAUACAACAAGAUAUCUGUGAUCCAAUGCUCACUAGUAAUACCCCCGCUCUACUGUGAAUAUGCAAAAUAAGCAAAGUCGACAUUUAACAGGAACCUGACAUCCGAUUGGUACAAAAUUAGAUCCCAGCGUAUGGCAUUCCUAAAACAAAUAGUGAGUUAAAAUUUCAAGCAUCUGAGAUUAAUAGUUGCUGAGAAAUCUUACAACAUCUCAAUUCAAAUUGUAAACCCAAAAAACUAAAAAAAGGAAAUAGGUAAUAAAACAAUUAUUUAUUGCUUGAACAGUCAAUAUACCAGAAUUGUUUUCCUUGGUGCAGGGAACAGAGUAUAAGAGAGCAGUUUUAAUCGAGUUUCCAUUGUUUUUAACUUUAAUUCAUUUCCUUC